GAGCUAAAGGAAAGCAGUGAGUGAAGAGGCCCAGGAAAAUCUGAUAUAGCUCUGGAGAAAAACCUGUGAAGACAUGUACAGUUCAACUUUGAAUAGACUGAAGGAAACCUUAGCAAGUACUCGUUUUGCAUACUCACAUGAUUAGCAAUUUCCUCACAUGGUAUGAAAGCACAGAGCCAAAAUGACCUCUUUCACAUUAAAGAGAUUUGUGUCUAACGCAGUUCACAUAUGGAAACCUUCAGCUCUCAGCGUGCCUUAAUGUGAGUGAUACGGUGCAGAGUAGGGCCUUCUUGCCCUUUGAGCCACGCUGCCCCAGCAACUCCACAACCUCGAUUAACCCCAGCUUAAUCAUGGGACAGUUUACAAUGACCAAUCAAUCCAGCCAGCGUGUCUUUGGACUGUGGGAGGAAGCCAGAACACCGGGGGAGAAGCCCGUGAAUUUCACAAGGAAGGUGUGCAGAUUUCCCUUACAGAACAGCACCAGAAUUGAAUUACAAACUGCAAUUUUUAUGCAUCAAAACUAAAACUAAUGGCAAAAAUUACUGUGAAAUCUACAGCUCGAAUAUUGUCUCCUCUGGGGCAAAACUCUACCCAGGAGGGCUUAAACCUAAAGUAGGCCCUGCAGUACAUUGGUCCAAUAAAUAAAAGCUGCAUACUAUUUGUAUCUUGUGAAUCAUUUUACCAUACUAACUGUUGGAGGUUAUUUUUAUCUUAUUGCUCAUUAAUAUUUUGAGUUAAGUAAUACUGUCUUGAGUUACUUUGUUCCACCAUUUAAGAGGGUUUAGAGACCGCUAUGUAUUAAACUCUGGAAGUUUUUCCCUAAAGCCUGCCUGUUUUCCUCCUUCAUUAACAUAUUAAUUAAACCUACUUCUCUCCAAGUUUGGUUCAGCUGUUUUAAUAUCCCGAUAUAAGGCUUGCUGUAAAAUUUUGAUA